CCUACGGGAGGCAGCAGUGAGGAAUAUUGGUCAAUGGACGAGAGUCUGAACCAGCCAAGUAGCGUGAAGGAUGACUGCCCUAUGGGUUGUAAACUUCUUUUAUAUGGGAAUAAAACGUUCCACGUGUGGGAUUUUGUAUGUACCAUAUGAAUAAGGAUCGGCUAACUCCGUGCCAGCAGCCGCGGUAAUACGGAGGAUCCGAGCGUUAUCCGGAUUUAUUGGGUUUAAAGGGAGCGUAGGUGGAUUGUUAAGUCAGUUGUGAAAGUUUGCGGCUCAACCGUAAAAUUGCAGUUGAAACUGGCAGUCUUGAGUACAGUAGAGGUGGGCGGAAUUGGUGGUGUAGCGGUGAAAUGCUUAGAUAUCACGAAGAACUCCGAUUGCGAAGGCAGUUCACUGGACUGCAACUGACACUGAGGCUCGAAAGUGUGGGUAUCAAACAGGAUUAGAUACCCCUGUAGUC
rnacentral:rRNA from 1 species